UACGUAGGGGGCAAGCGUUGUCCGGAAUCAUUGGGCGUAAAGAGCGUGUAGGCGGUUCAGUAAGUCUGCUGUGAAAGUCCAAGGCUCAACCUUGGGAUGCCGGUGGAUACUGCUGGGCUAGAGUACGGAAGAGGCGAGUGGAAUUCCCGGUGUAGCGGUGAAAUGCGCAGAUAUCGGGAGGAACACCAAUUGCGAAGGCAGCUCGCUGGGACGUCACUGACGCUGAGACGCGAAAGCGUGGGGAGCAAACAGG
rnacentral:rRNA from 1 species